rnacentral:rRNA from 1 species
AGCGAACGCUGGCGGCAGGCCUAACACAUGCAAGUCGAGCGCCCCGCAAGGGGAGCGGCAGACGGGAGAGUAACACGUGGGAACGUGCCCUUUGGUUCGGAACAACCCAGGGAAACUUGGGCUAAUACCGGAUAAGUCCGUAAGGAGAAAGAUUUAUCGCCAAAGGAGCGGCCCGCGUCUGAUUAGCUAGUUGGUGAGGUAACGGCUCACCAAGGCGACGAUCAGUAGCUGGUCUGAGAGGAUGAUCAGCCUCACUGGGACUGAGACACGGCCCAGACUCCUACGGGAGGCAGCAGUGGGGAAUAUUGGACAAUGGGCGCAAGCCUGAUCCAGCCAUGCCGCGUGGGUGAUGAAGGCCCUAGGGUUGUAAAGCCCUUUCGGCGGGGAAGAUAAUGACGGUACCCGCAGAAGAAGCCCCGGCUAACUUCGUGCCAGCAGCCGCCGUAAGAC